rnacentral:lncRNA from 1 species
CACUUACAAGUAAUCAUAGUAUGUGAAAAUCCUAACUUAAUUAGAACAUGAUCUCAACACACCAAUCUAGCUCCUUAGGAUUUUAUAUAAAGUCAAACAAUUCAAUUUGCCUUUAUUGGUAUUAUGUGUUGGCAUUCCUAUACCAGUAAACAACAAAGUGCAAUGCGGUAUCAUCAUGACUUGUGUCAUUGAUGUAACUUGUCAUAUGCAUACAUGAUGAUCUUAUUUGAUAAAUAUUUGUCUAAGUGAUUUGCUGUUUUGAAUAUCUCAUUGACAGGAAUUUUCUCAUAUGUGAUUGAGUCCUAACUUGGUUAGGAUCUCAUUACUUAUUGGUAUGCGUUUAAUAAAGGAAGGUAGAUCCAUUCUGAAUAGGUUUGAUAUGCCGUGUGAAGGAAAGAAAUCUUAUUUCAUAUAGGAUAUUCUUUUAUGGUUUAAAUAGAUAAAUAUCUUGUUAUUAUAUAAGGUCUUUAACUCUGAUGUAAAUUCCUUUUUGAGACAGGGAUUAGGGUUGCUGGCGCUAGGUCUUUGCUGUUAUACAAAAGAGACGUAUAACAGAUGAAAGAAGGUGUUUUGCAUGCUUGGCGUUUGAGAGAAAAUUGUUUUAUUCCGCUACUCAUCUAAAUAUACAAGUUCAACUUUUCCUUGUUGAGUUGGACUUGCUGUGUGUGUGAUUGUGACUCUCUCGUGUGUUGAGAGAAGAUCAUUGAAGAAAGGAGAAGAAGAAGUUCUACCUAGAGAUAGGGAUUUGUAAUAGUAUAGGGUUUACAAAGAAGUUGUAAGACUCUAUACAAAUUUAUCUAAUUGAGUUCGUUUUCUGAGCUUGUGCUCCGUUAUGAUUUUUCCUCUGUUUUGAGGUUUUUCACAGCGUCAAAAAUCUGGUGUUCUUGUUAACUUUCUGUCAGUUCGUCGAGAAUUGAAACGACUGUUUCAAUCCUUGCUUCACAUUUCAAUACCUUUAAGUGGUACCAGAGCAAGUGCUGGAAGAGUCUAGCAAAUCCAAGGGAAGAUGGAACGUGAUUCACAUAGCUCGGCAGUUAACACUCCUCCAUGGUUUGAUGGUGAAAAUUAUUUGGAUUGGAAGAUUAUGAUGCAAUCGUUCAUGUACGCUCAAGAUGAACUCUGCUGGUACGUUAUUGAGGUGGAAUGGACUCACCCCACAAAAGAAACAAAAAGUAAGGAAGUAGAAGGAUCAGAACAAAAGUCAGAAGUCAUAAUGAAGCCACAUGAAGAAUGGAACAACGGUGAACUCAAAAAAUUUGAUGCUGAUCAAAAGGCCAGAAAUAGUCUUUUUCAUGCUCUUUCACUAAAAGAAAGGAGGAGAAUCUGUCAUUGCAAAACUGCCAAGGAAGCAUGGGACAUGCUGAGGAUAGCGCAUGAAGGUAACAAGAAGCUUAAAAGCUUAAAGCUUCAGAGAGUGAUCCAAGAAUUUUGGACGAUGCCUAUGGAGGAGGAUGAAACAAUUGAUGAAUUCCAUGCAAGACUCAGGAUGUUGUGAGCCAAUGUAAAAGCUUGGAGGCAGAUAUUGAAGAAGAUACAAUUGUGAAAAAAUUUCUAAGGGCACUACCACUGAGAUAUCAACCAAAACAGACAGCCAUUGAAGAAUCUUAUGACUUGGACACAUAUCGUCUGGAGGAACUUGUAAGUAAUCUCAAAGCUUAUGAAUUGAGAAUAGGUAAGCCUAAUAUAAAGGGAAAGAAUCUAGCUUUAUCUUCAGUAAAAAGAAAGGAAAAAGAAGUUUCCAUUGAUGAUAGUGAACCUAUUGAUAUUUCGUUACUUAUCAAAGAGUUCAUAAAGUUUUUGAAAAACAAAAAUUCAUCCUCUAGUACUUCUAGAAAUUUUACAAAUCAAAAGAAAAUUUUUCUUCUGAAAAUAAAAAUGAGAGAGGCAUGAAUCAAACUAAGUUUUCUCAAAAGAAAAAUUUUCAAGGAAAUUUCAUUAAAUGUCAUGAGUGGUGGCAUUGGUCAUAUUGCUAUUAAUUGUGAAAACAUGAAGUCUUUUGCUAACAAUAACAGGGCCAUGAAGUCUACUUGGAGUGACAGCGAUGAUGAACCUCAAUCAACUAGGAAACACUUUGCUCUAAUAUCCUCUUUCCAUGAAGAUGAAUCAGAUGUUGAUCUUGAAAGUUCUGAUGAUGAAGAUGAUCUUAUCUCUUAUGAAGCCAAUGAUAUGUACACAAAAUUGUACAAUGCCACAAUGAAGGUGCAAAGGGAGAAUGAUCAACUGAAAUCAAGUCUUAAGAAAGCAAGAAAAGAUAAGAAAUAACUUGAGGUAUCCCUAGAAACCUGUCAACAUCAAUGGGAUAUUGAGCAGACUAACUUGAUUGGUAAAUUGCAGGAUGGAGCAUCAUUACAGGUCACUCAAGAAGAUGGUGGUGAAAAGGAUGACAAAAUCAAAACCUUACAGGUAGAAUUAAAGGGCCAAAUUCUUCUAAAUGUGGAAUUAACUUGUAAAAAUGAAAAAUUGCAGGCCGAAGUGAUGAAAGCUCAUGAGCGUUUUUAAAAGUUUGAGACGAGCUCCGACAAAGUUUCAAAAAUGAUCAUUUUGGAAAAAUUCAUAACAACAGAGAAGGGCUAGGUUUUGGUGGAAAAUCAACCAAGCAGAAAAUUUUUGUCAAAGAAGGCAGUACGAAGGACUGUAAUGAAGCUUCAAUCCUGGAAAAGAUCUAAACAGAAAUAAAUCAUCUGCAGAAGUAGUUUCUCAAAGGGUAAUAUCAUCUCUUACUCAGGAUGCUCAGGUAAGAUCUGAUGAUCUCAUUUUAGAACAUCAGCCCAGGUAUGGUAACAACUCCUCAAGUUUUGUUCCUAUAUGUUAUCAAUGUGGGAAGGUGGGACAUAUUCGACCAAAGUGUAAUAUGUAUAGGAAGGAAAUCAAUAUGUUAAUUGACUCUAUUACUUUAAAUUCAAAUGAUCUCUUAAAUGAAAAAAUGGAUCAACAAAUGGAUUUGAUGAACAGGAUUGCAGAAAUGAUUUCAAUCCCAGAAAAGCUGGAAAGAAAAUCAAAAUUUGCUUGAGUUGAACUGGAUGAUAAUAAAUGUGUCUCUAAAAAUUACAACAAUGGGGUACUAGAGACUAAUGACGAAAUUUGCUUGUUUUCAUCUUACAAGAUCCUUGAAGAGCUUAAAGAGGUUGAAUUUGUGCAAGCCACAUGCUUGGUCGGUCUAACAGCAUUGGCUAAAAGACAAAAAGAUAGUUGGUAUGUGGACAUUGGAUGUUCGCGUCAUAUGACUAGAAAUAAAGAUUGAUUUAUAACCUUCUCUGAUGAGUACACAAAUGGAGCGGUUACCUUUGGUGAUGGUUGCAACUCUAAGGUAAAGGCAAGGGUAUGGUAAGUGGACCUAGUAUUCCAAUCAUUAAGGAUGUGCUUUAUGUUGAAGGUUUGCAUGUAAAUUUGUUGAGUAUGAGUCAAUUAACCAAUAACUAUGAGAAUGUAAACUUCAAUAAGAAAAUUUGUGUUGUUUUUGGUUCUGAUGGAAAAAAUAUCAUGGUCGGAUUAAGGCAAGGAGACAAUUGUUAUCAUGUUUGUCCUAACGAUUUAUCUGAUGUGCAGAAAUGCCUCAAAGUUAAGACUUUAGACAGUAUCCUUAAUUUGUGGCAUAGAAGAUUAGGACAUGUAAAUUUUCAGGACUUAGUGAAGCUAUCAAACAAAGAGUGUGUGAGAGGAAUAAUGCCGAUUCUAAGUGGAAAAUCAGAUUCAAUGUGUAAAGGUUGUAAGCUUAGGAAGCAAACUCGUGCCGCUCAUCCUUCAAUAAAUUAUGCUACUACUGUUCAACCACUACAAUUAAUUCACAUGGAUUUAGUUGGGCCAGCAAGCACUGAGAGCUUGAGAGGUAAGAGUUAUAUUCUUGUGGUGGUGGAUGACUUCUCCAAAUUUACAUGGGUGAAAUUUCUAAGUGGGAAGGAUGACACUUUGAGGUAUGCAAAAAUUUAUUUAAACAAAUUUCUGUUGAAAUGCAAUAUUUAAGUUUGUCUAUUGUUAGAGUGAGAACUGACAAUGGAACGGAAUUUUAAAAUGCUAUAUUCAGAAAUUUCUUUAAUACGCAUGGUAUCUCACAUGAGUUUUCAGCACCUAUAACUCCCCAACAGAAUGGAAUUGCCGAAAGAAAAAACAAGGUUCUGCUUGACAUGGCACAAGUGAUGCUUUAUUCAAUCAAGUUGAGUGAAUACUUUUGGGCCGAGGCAAUUAACACUGCUUACUAUACUUCAAACAGAGUUUUCAUUCAUUCAGGUAGUGAUAAGACACCAUACGAGUUAUGGAAAGGUAAAAGACCCAAUGUAAGUUAUUUUCAUGUCUUUGGAAGUCCGUGUUACAUUUAUAGAGACAGAGAAUAUCUUUUAAAAUUUGAUGCUCAAAGUGACAAAUGUAUUUUCCUUGGCUACUCCGUGAAUAGUAGAGCAUACCGAGUUUAUAAUAAGGAAACUAGAUCGAUUAUGGAAUCGUUCAAUGUUGAAAUUGAUGACUUUUUUGUUUCUAGAGGUAGACAAAUUAACUACAUUGAUCAACUAGCAGAAGAACGUGCAAAUGAGAAUGAUGAUGAUCAAGGCACUUCGGGAGAGGCAGAUCCUAAUCUAGCUCAUCCACUUGUCUAGAGAACCGGGUUCAAGAAGGUCUAAAAAGACCACUCUCUACAAGAUAUUAUAGGUGAAAUUGGUGAUGGUGUACGAACAAGAAGGCAAGCUCAAAGUGAGGAGAGUGGUGACCCGAAGAAUAAAUAUGUUGAAAAUGAGGUAAUUAGUGACACUGCUCUUGCAUGUUUUGUUGUUGAAAAGGAAGAUGACAUUAACAAAAUCACUUACAAUGGCUUUGUCUCCCUCAUUGAACCAAAAAAUGUAAAAGAUGCUUUGUGUGAUGAUGAUUGGAUAAAUGCCAUGCAAGAUGAACUGAAUCAAUUUACUAGGAAUGAUGUUUGGUAUCUUGUCACUAGACCUAAAAAUUGUAAUGUCAUUGGAACUAAAUGGAUUUUUCGGAAUAAAAGUGAUGAACAUGAUAAUGUAACUAGAAAUAAAGCUAGGUUGGUGGCAAAAGGUUAUUCACAAGUUGAAGGUAUCAACUUUGAUGAAACUUUUGCUCAUGUUGCUAGACUUGAAUCUGUGCGGUUAUUGCUUGUCAUUGCUUGUCACUUACAUUUCAAAUUGUAUCAAAUAGAUGUGAAAAGUGCUUUUCUAAAUGGUUUUUUAAAUGAAGAGGUCUAUGUUGAACAGCCACUGGGAUUCAAAGACCCUCACAAUCUUGAUCAUGUUUACAGAUUGAAAAAGGCUUUGUACGGUUUGAAACAGGCUCCUAGGGCCUGUUAUGAACGUCUUUCUACUUAUCUAAUCAGUAAAGAGUAUGUUAGGGGAUCCAUUGAUAAAACUCUCUUUGUUAAGAAAGAUGGAAAGAAUGUUAUGAUUGCACAGGUUUAUGUUGACGAUAUUGUGUUUGGAUCCACUUCUGAUAUGUAUGUAAGAGAGUUCACCUCCAUCAUGGAAAGUGAAUUUGAAAUGAGCAUGUGUGGUGAGCUCAACUACUUUCUUGGUCUUCAAGUGCGUCAACUCAAAGAUGAUAUGUUUCUUUCUCAAACUAAGUAUGCAGAGAACUUGGUUAAAAAAUUCGGUCUUGAUUCAAAGGAAAAGGUAAUUAAUCCCAUGAGUACUAGCACUAAACUUUGUGAGGAUAAACUUGGUAAGCCUAGCUGUUGAUCAAAUCCUCUACAGGAGUAUGAUUGAAAGUCUCCUAUAUCUUACUGCUAGUAGACCUGACAUUUCUUACAAUGUAUGUGUUUGUGCUCGAUUCCAAGCAAAUCCCAUGGAAUCGCACUUGGAAGCAGUAAAGAGAAUUAUCCGAUAUGUGUCAGGUACAACGGAUCUGAGAAUAUCUUAUACCUUUGAUACUAAUGUGGAAAUUGCAGGAUUUUCUAACUCUGAUUGGGGUGGAGACACAAAAGAUAGGAAGAGCACAUCUGGUGGAUGCUUCUUUGUGGGAAAUAACAUGAUUGCUUGGCAUAAUAAGAAGCAGAAUUAUACUUCCUUGUCCACCACCAAAGCUGAAUAUGUUGCAGCUGGAAGUUGUUGUACACAAAUGUUGUGAAUGAAGCAAAUGCUCCGAGAUUAUGGUCUUCUUCAAGGUAAGUUAACUUUUUUCUGUGAUAACUCAGGAGCAAUAAGUAUAACUAAAAAUCCAGUGCAACACUCUAAGACAAAGCACAUUGAGUUGACAUAUCACUUCAUUAGUGAACUUGUUGAAAAGAAUGUGUUGAAUUUGGAGUUCAUCUCCAUUGAAAAUCAAUUGGCAGAUUUUUUCACAAAACCUUUGGAUAAUGAGUGAUUUUCAUCUCUCUGAAAUGCCAUUAGUGUGUGCCACAAGGACUAGAAGUCUCCCUCUUGAAGGCUCUGUACAUAUUGUGCAUUUUGCUUCGUUCUUUUUACUUUGAUAACAUUGGUAUUUUUAGCUUUCUGUUUUGUUGUUAGUGUUCAUCCAGGUUCUGUGAGGAUUGCAUGCUGGGUUCAAUCCCGAGGCUUCUGCAAGAGAAAGUUGAUCCGAGAUUACCUCAGUAGUUGCCAUGGCUUUCUCUACAUAAAGUUGAUAAAAUGCUAGCAGAUUUGUCACUUGUUUUUGCGAUUCUGUUCAUAUAUGCAUAUUUGUUUUAUCAUGGUCAUCUUGGAUUCACUUUUACACAUAAUUUUGCUGUGGUGGUAUGAGAUUCACCUGUUUGUGUAAGUUGGCUCUGGAAAUAGAAAAGAAAAAGUUGUUGAUCAUAUAUGGAGCUAGGCCAAACUAUUCCCAAAGUAAACAUACCUUAGUCGUGACGAGCGAUAUAAGGUCAUGGGAGAGAAACAUGAAUGGUUUGAAGAUAGGCCAACUAUUUCCAAAGUAAACAUGCCUUGGUCAUGAUGAACGAUAUAAGGUACUGGGGAGAAACGGGAAUGGCUCGGCCGCCUUGGUGGUUCAUGUAUUUGACUCGAGUAACUGUCCCUCGGGAUGUCCUUGUUACUUCUAGUACCCUAAAACCAACUGGUUUGGGACUUAUUGGCAGUUUACUCGCUACAUGGGUCACAAAGUCUGAUAAAAAUGUCAAAAGAGUGAUAAAAGAUCAAAGUGGUUGAUAUGGUGCAACAUAAAGGAGAUAUAAGGGGCUUUCAUAAUUUGUUGACAGUUGAUGCUUCUCACCCCAUAGCACUGAUUGAUCACGUUGUUCACACUAGACCCAUGAUAAAUAAAAAAUUGUCAUAUUUUACAGGAUUGUCUCAAACAGGUCUCUCAUGAAAGUUGCUUUGUAAAUUUUAUGGAGAAAAAACUAUGUUUUGUACUAUGGUUGAAAUGCUCUGUUUCUUCCUUGUAAUAAGCCUUGAUUUGUUUUCUCAUUUGUAUGUGUGUGCAUUGUGUUGUUAUUUCUUCAUCUCUAUAUUUUCUCAUGCAUCAUUUGAGGGGGAGAGUCUUUCUCCAUGAUUUGGAUUCUACCAUGCAUUUUUUGAGGGGGAGAAUUCUCUCUAGUUCUUGAUUGGUACAGCCAAUGGCACGCUCUGCCGUUCUUCUCCAAGCCUUGGUAAGUUGGUCUCUGUGUUAGUUGUUUUUGUUUUUUGCAUAUAAGAGAUCGUUUGAAUUUUGAAUUUAAAGUACUAGAGCCAAUUAACAAAUUGCUUUCCUUCCUAUACAUACUACACCUUGGUCGAAUAUGUCCCACCUUCCCACAUUGAUAAGAUGUACGAACAAAACUUGAGGAGUUAUUGCCAUACCUGGGCUGAUGUUCUAGAAUGAGAUCAUCAGAUCUUACCUGAGCAUCUUGAGUAAGAGAUGAUAUUACCCUCUGAGGAACUACUUCUGCAUAUGAUUUACUUCUAUUCAGAUCUUUUUUCAGGAUUGAAGCUUCAUUGCAGUCCUUCGUACUGCCUUCUUUGACAAAAAUUGUCUGCUUGGUUGAUUUUCCACCAAAACCUAGCCCUUCUCUGUUGUUAUGAGUUUUUCCAAAACUGAUCAUUUUUUAAACUUUGUCGGAGCUCGCCUCAAACUUUUCAAAACGCUCAUGAGCUUUCAUCACUUCGACCUGUAAUUUUUCAUUUUCACAAGUUAAUUCCACAUUUAGAAGAAUUUGGCCCAUGCUCUGCCGUUCUUCUCCAACCCUUAGUAAGUUGGUAUAUGUGUUAGUUGUUUUUGUUUUUCUGUUUAGUAAAAAAAUAAAAAAUAAUUUUUUUUCUCUUUCUUUUUCUUUUUCGUGCGCGUAUAUGAGGUAUUAUGUGAGUGUGCAGUCUAGGUUUUAAGCCCCACCGCUUUUCUCUAUCCGGUUCAAGCUCUCUCUUCCUCCUCCAUCAUGGUUCGCCUAAAACGAGCUGCAAAUCACAAGCCGAAAGGUGCUCACUCCUCCGCUCGCCUCCGCAAGAUGGUGGAUGUCGGUCCUCCUACCUCCGUCGAGAACCCCGCCACUGUCCUCUAUGCUCCCGACGACUCCGCUACUGCAUCGCUCUCCGGCGAUGGUGGAGCUUCCUGGUUGCCUUCCCCCUCUCGCACUCACUCGGAUCAUGGUGAAUCACCACUUUGGUCUCUGUCCCGAUCUCCUUCUCCGGUGGCUCCCCCUCGCAAGCGAACCAAGGUCUCGAAGUCUUCUCAACCCUCAUCUUCCCAAUCUUCUGUGAUCACAUCAAGUAAGGGAUCCUCUCUUACUACUUUUUCCACCAUUGAUGUCAAGAAGAUCUUUGAAAAAUAUGUGUGUGAUAGAGUGUUUGUCUUUGAGAAAAAGUUUGCACUUGCCGAAUUGGGGGACAUGUUUAAUCAAAUUGUUGUGAAUCUUGGUUGGGAUACUGUGCUUGAUAAUCUUCCCAUUCCAAACUUGACAAUGGUUCGUGAGUUUUAAGCUUGUUGCUCUGAUGGAAUGCCUCCUACAGUGGAUUUGUUUUCAGCUCAGAUUCUCUCUAGUUGCUCGGUUCAUCUUCGAGAGACUUUGGUGAUUUUCACUCCUGACAAGAUUCGUGAGGCAUUGGGACUCCCAAUGCCCUCUCUGGAUGCAAUGAAAGUUGUCCACAACGCCUUGGAUUUAAUAGACAUAAUAGCCAUCAUCAAGGAGUGUUAUGAGAAGCAACCUACCUCACUCCCUUGGGAUUUGUCUCAUGUUGGGAUUUGUCUCAUGGUGCUCUCACUCAAGUUCAUAGGGUUGUUGGUCAUCUAGUUCACUCACUCUUAUAUCCAUCUACUCAGUCCAGCAAGCUUACCUUGGAGGAGGCGCAGCUUAUUUGUUUGGUCUUUCGUCAAACUCCGGUGAUCCCUCUUGAGUAUUUUAUGUACAAGGCCAUUCGAAAAGCUGCCAUUGUCGAGCGUACUCAUAAGAAGGCUGCUUUGGUGUUCCCGUCUGUCAUCACUACCCUAUCAUCAAGUGGCUAGCGAUGAUGAGAUGGGCGAGUCUGUAAAGGUCUUUGAUCGCUCAUCCUUGAACAGGAGCAAUGGUCAGAGUAAGGUUCGUGGUCAGUCCGUUGACACUGCUGCUAUAUCCAAGGAACUCCAGGAAGGGUUUGUUGCUGUAUGUGCUCGUCUUACUCAUCUUGAGGGGGCGCACAAGGCUCUUGAGUUGAAAGUUGCUUCCUUGAUGGCUCAAAGUUCUCUUGCGGUGACAUCCUCACAUGCUACCAACUCUGUUCCUGAAGAUCCUUUGGCUUCCUAGAAAAAAAGGGGGAGUGCCAUGUUGUUUUUCAUGUUUUGUAGUUUGUUUUCAUGUUGGUUGUUUAAGCUUGUAUUGUACUUAUGGUUUAUGUACUAAGAUUUUUUAAACUAUGUGGUUUGCUUAAUUACAAUGUUUUAAACUUGUAUUUUAGUCUAAAGUAUUUGUGUGGUUUUGUAUAGGAAUGCCAAAGGGGGAGAUUAUUGAUAUUAUGUGUUGGCAUUCCUAUACUAGUAAACAGCAAAGUGCAAUGCGGUACCAUCAUGACUUGUGUCAUUGAUGUAACCUGUCAUAUGCAUACAUGAUGAUCUUAUUUGAUAAAUAUUUGUCUAAGUGAUUUGUUGUUUUGAAUAUCUUAUUGACAGGGAUUUUCUCAUACGUGAUUGAGUCCUAACUUGAUUAGGAUCUCAUUAUUUAUUGGUAUGCGUUUGAUAAAGGAAGGUAGAUCCAUUCUGAAUAGGUUUGAUAUGCCGUGUGAAGGAAAGAAAUCUUAUUUCAUAUAGGAUAUUCUUUUAUGGUUUAAAUAGAUAAAUAUCUUGUUAUUAUAUAAGGUCUUUAACUCUGAUGUAAAUUCCUUUUGGAGACUAGGAUUAGGGUUGCUGGCACUAGGUCUUUGCUGUUGUACAAAAGAGGUGUAUGAUAGAUGAAAGAAGGUUUUUUUGCACGCUUGGCGUUUAAGAGAAAAUUAUUUUAUUCCGCUGCUCAUCUAAAUAUACAAGUUCAGCUGUUCCUUGUUGAGUUGGACUUGUUGUGUGUGUGAUUGUGAUUCUCUUGUGUGUUGAGAGAAGAUCAUUGAAGAAAGGAGAAGAAGUCGUUCUGCCUAGAGAUAGGGAUUUGUAAUAGUAUAGGGUUUACAAAGAAGUUGUAAGACUCUAUACAAAUUCAUCUAGUUGAGUUCGUUUUCUGAGCUUGUGCUUCGUUGUUAUUUUUCUUCUAUUUUGAGGUUUUUACACAGCGUCAAAAAUCUGGUGUUCUUGUUAACUUUCUGUCAAUUCGUCGAGGAUUGAAACAGUGCAUCACGUUUCAGUACCUUUAGCUUUAAAUAAGAGAAUCCUAAUUAACAAACUACAAUUAAGCUACUGAUAAAAUAUCACUUAACAAUUAGAUCCAUUUAAGGAGUUUCUAAACAUAUAAGGACAAUAUUUUACAAAUAAGGACAAAUUGUUAUAUUCUUGCAAUGUGGCAAUUACACAUUUACAAUUUUGUCCUUAAUUAAAACAUACUUCACUGCUACUGCCAUCGACUAGAAAUCCACUACUACUACUACCGCCGACAGGAAAUCUGCUGCUACUGCGCCGACUGAAAAUUUUAUUGCUACUGCCGCUGACUGAAAAUUCAUUGCUACUGUCGCCGACCAGAAAUUUACUGUACUGCCGCUGAUCGGAACCUACUGCUACUACUGACUAAAUAGCUACUGCUACUACCAAAUUCACUAGAAAAAAACUUCUGCUACUACCAAAUCUACAGUAGCAGGACUGUUACACAUUGAAAACCUGAUGAUCUACAAUAGCAGCAAGACCUGAUGAUCUGCAGCAACAAUAGCAGCAAAACCUAAGGAUCUGUAACAACAAUAGCAGCAAGACCAGACAAACUGCAACAAUAGUAACACCAAAACUUGACCUUUGUGGCAACCCAGUAGCAGCAAAACCUGAUGAUUAACAACAACAGUAGCAACAAGACCUGAUGAUCAGCUACAGUAGCAGUAAGACUUGACCUUUGUGGCAGCAAUAGCAGCAAAACUUGAACAUAGCCGUCAAAAGCUACCAACUCAUCAUCAAUGAGAUCGACUCCUCAGCCGCCACACCUCUCCGGGAUGUCAAGCUCCUAGCCCUCUACUUCUCCAUCUCCAAUUACAAGGUUUGUCGAGAUCUAAGGUUUUGAAUUGUGACAUUAGAUUUGGAAUUAGCGAUGUUGAAUUGAAAUUGUGUGUCCAAGAAUUCGUGAUCUCUAAUUACUCAGCGUUGACGUCGGCCUUGGGUUGCUCAAAGCCAUUAGACGACUAUGAGAACUUGAUCUUCCAAAGAGGUCAACAAUGAGGAUUGGUUGGAGAGAGAGAGAGAGAGAGAGAGAGAGAGAGAGAGAGAGAGAGAGAGAGAGAGAGAGAGAGAGAGAGAGAGAGAGAGAGAGAGAGAGAGAGAGAGAGAGNNNNNNNNNNNNNNNNNNNNAUCUAAAAAAAAAAAAAAACAUGGAGAGGGGAGGAGAGUGAGAAGAAAGUUUGGAAUGGGAGGGUAUUAUGGUCAUUUGAUAGAUAAAAUUCAAAUAAGGCUUAAUGUUAUUAGUUUUGAAUUAGGCUCAUGUCCUAAAUCAUAUAAAAAUUAAUAAAAAUGGGUUUUUGGUGUUUUUAAAUUUGGCCAUGUGCUACUAUUAAACAGCAAUCAUAUAUCAUAUUGAUUAACAUAUGCGUUGUAUAGGAAUGCCAACUCAAUAUUGUACCAAUAACCUGCCAUCCCGGCCACUUAGAAACAUGUCAUAUUCCUAAGUAGAUUGAUCAAUGGUUGAUUGAUGAGUACAACAUGUAACAAAAUCCUGGCAAGGCAUAUCAUAUAUAUAUAUGCUCUCGAAGACUCCUUACAAUUUAUUAAGACAAAUGUUGAUCUGAGUUAAUGAUAUGAACACUCCUUAUAAUUCUUU